rnacentral:ncRNA from 1 species
GGUCUAGUGAUGCUGCUUGGUGUUCCAUACGCACAAAGUGCAGGAACCGAACAGGGAAUCUGGUCAGGAUCGAUCCGGUAUGGAGAUCCGAUGCCAGAGCCGCCCCCGCGACUGUAAGCGGUGAGCGACUGCCGAUUUGUCCACUCACAUCCCAUGAUGUGGGGAAGGCCUGCAGAUCGUCACGACCCGCGAGCCAGGAGACCUGCCAGGCACAAUGCAAACCG